rnacentral:rRNA from 1 species
GACGAACGCUGGCGGCGUGCCUAAUACAUGCAAGUAGAACGCAGUUUCGAACGGGUGAGUAACGCGUAGGUCAAUGCCCCAUAGAGAGGGAGACCUAUUGGAAACGAUAGCUAAUACCGCAUCCUGUGAGAUGGACCUGCGUUGUAUUAGGUAGUUGGUGGGGUAAAGGCUCACAAAGGCGAGGAGACAUAGCCGACCUGAGAGGGGGAACGGCCACAUUGGGACUGAGACACGGCCCAGACUCCUACGGGAGGCAGCAGUAGGGAAACUUCGGAAAUGGACGGAAUUCUGACCGAGCAACGCCGCGGGAGUGAAGACGGUGUUCGGAGCGUAAAGCUCUGUUAUUAGAGACGCGGUAACUAAACAGAAAGGGACGGCUAACUACGUGCCAGCAGCCGCGGUAAUUC